CACAAAAUGUGCAUAGUCAAUCGGACCGCGCACUGGACUCACAAUCCAGAGGUCGCCGGUUCGAAUCCCGAAUUUGUGU
rnacentral:tRNA from 1 species